UGAAAAUCCCCCCUUUUUUAUGAAUAAAGCCCCAUAAAUCCAAAACUUAAAAUCUGAAAUUAAAAAAAAACGAAAGGGAGCUUACGUCAAUAGAUAUAAACAAUUCACUUAAGUUUCAUGGAAAUUGGUGAAAGUGUUUUGGAGUUAUUGUCCGAAGUGUGGACGACGGACGGACGGACGGACGGACAACGGUAUACCAUAAUACGUCCCGUCUAAAAGACGGGCG
rnacentral:lncRNA from 1 species